UGCGCUGGAAUACGCUAUUCGGGUGGUCGCCGGAGCCAAUGGAAGGGGAGGCUUCGACUGCGAGCAGAAGAAGGGGAAGGGCAAAGCAUGGACCGCAUCAGCGACCUUCCCGACACCAUCCUCGGCGACAUCGUCUCCCGCCUCCCCGCCGAGGACGGCGCCGGCACGCAGGUCCUCUCCUCCCGGUGGCGCCACAUCUGGCGCUCCGCUCCUCUCAACCUGGACCUCCGCUCCCACCCCGUCCCUCUGGGUAAGGUGCCCCGCAUCCUCUCCUCGCACCCGGGCCCCGGCCGCCGCUUCUCCACGCCCGCGCGCUACUAUAACGACCUCCGCUCCCGCUCCGCCGCGACCCUGGACGGCUGGCUCCGCUCCCGCGCCCUCAGCAACCUCCAGGAGCUCGACUGCCGCCACGACCUUCCGUUUCGGGACCGGGGGAGUCCUCCGCCGCUGCCCGCAUCAGCGCUCCGCUUCUCGGGCACUCUUCGCAUCGCCAGAUUCUGGUUCUGCCGUUUCCCGGAUGGAAUCAGUACCCGCUUUCCGGUCCUCGAAGAGCUGCAGCUUUCACAAGCCAUCGUCUCGGAGAGCUCUCUGCCAGGGUUUUCUUUUACCGGUGGGAAAAAAAAAUUUCGGCACCUGCCGAUAAAUUUCGUAUUUUUCGGACAUUUUCUAUUUUAAAAAUUAAUUAAAUUUGCGCAAAAAACAAAAAAAAAUAAUACCAUACCGAUAUUUUUUUCCCUUUUCGCUACUCACCGAUAAAAGCGAAAUAUCGGAAAUUUCGGUGAAAUUUCGCCGAUAUUGUUUUCUCUGCUCUCUGCACGCCUUUGCUCGCCGGCUGCCCCGUCCUGCAUAGGUGCUUCUAACUUACAACCACGGCUGCUCUCGUGUCCGGAUCGCGUCCCCUACCCUCAGAAGCGUUGAUGUAGGUCGAGGUGCGGGAGACCUCAGUUUGCAGCAACUCAUCAUCGAGGAUGCUCCCUGCCUGGAGAGGUUACACCAUCAUUCGGCUAUUUCACAUCACAAGAAAAUGGACAUCUGCGUGAUGUCGGCGCCAAAAUUGGGUAUUUUGGGGCAUAUCUAUGACCACUAUCCCAGACUUGAGAUUGGCCCCACAGUUUUUCAGGGUUUGCAUGUUGUUACCAUGGCAACGGUGUUGCGCGGUGUGAAGGUCUUAUCUCUGUCAAACAAGAGCCUCAGUUUGAAUGCGGUUCUUAACGUCAUGAAAUGCUUUCCCUGCUUGGAGAUGCUGAACAUCCAAACAUUAUUCAAAGGGAGGAAAAAUGUGUGGGGUAAUAACCACAAUCUUAUCAACACUUGUCUGAAGAAAAUUGUGUUGAGGAACUAUAGCGGCAACGAGUCACAUGUUAACUUUGUCAAGUUCUUUGUAUUGAAUGCGAGGGUGAUAGAGUCAAUCAGGCUUGUUUUACGGUUUAGGAAUGCUAGCAAUGGUUGGAUUAAAGGACAGCACAGGCUGAGCCACGGUUGGAUUGAAGAAUAGUGCAGGCUGCUUGAGUUUGAAGAGAGAGCUUCCAAGAGCGCACAGUUGGAGUUUGUGUCUUCUGAUAGAUUGUGUGAUGAGGCAAUCGCGUGAUUGGUCAACAGAGGACCCCAUUUCCAGAUUUUCGAUGUCUCUUUUCAAGAUCGUCUCCUGCAGGAUUACUGGACCAUGAACCACACACACUUCAAGAUCGUGCCCUGAAGCAGAUUCAGCUGGUUAUUGUUUUGUGCGGUUCCAGUUUUUGUUUGUGAGCAGAUUCCUGUGUGCUAGGGCCAUGGAACGUUUCAAUCUUUUUAGCUCUGCCAAAGUGCAAGAAACGUGCAAUAUCACUCGUGCUAACUACUGCAUAUGACUAUAUGUAUAAACUUGUAGAUCCGUAAUAUUCUUGUCUUAGCUCUUAGCGAUGGGUUAUUGGCCUUGUAUGUGCUUCAGGUUCUGUCAUCGAUCUAUGGCUGCCCGGUUGCGGCAACUGAAUUUCUGCCCUAAUAAGACUGGCUGUUCCUGGCUAGUAGGACGAAA